ACGUAUGGUGCAAGCGUUAUCCGGAUUUACUGGGUGUAAAGGGAGCGUAGACGGAGUGGCAAGUCUGAUGUGAAAACCCGGGGCUCAACCCCGGAACUGCAUUGGAAACUGUCAAUCUAGAGUACCGGAGAGGUAAGCGGAAUUCCUAGUGUAGCGGUGAAAUGCGUAGAUAUUAGGAGGAACACCAGUGGCGAAGGCGGCUUACUGGACGGUAACUGACGUUGAGGCUCGAAAGCGUGGGGAGCAAACAG
rnacentral:rRNA from 1 species